rnacentral:misc_RNA from 1 species
CGCCCGAAGUCGUUACUCCAACCGUUCGCGGAGGAGGACGCCGAAGGCAGGGCUGAUGACUGGGGUGAAGUCGUAACAAGGUAGCCGUACCGGAAGGUGUGGCUGGAUCACCUCCUUUAAGGGAGACCUACCCUAUUAGAUACCGAACCACAGUGAAUUAGGUACUAAUAAGGUCAACCUAAGGUCGUUGAGGUUGGUUGAACUAGAUGGCUUUCAAACUACUAGGUGAGGGACCGUGGGCUAUUAGCUCAGGUGGUUAGAGCGCACCCCUGAUAAGGGUGAGGUCCCUGGUUCGAGUCCAGGAUGGCCCACCUGUAUCAAUUCAAGAUGAUGAAUUCAAAGUUCAAAAUUUUGAAUAUAUUGAUGGGGGUUUAGCUCAGUUGGUAGAGCGCCUGCUUUGCAAGCAGGAUGUCAGCGGUUCGAGUCCGCUAACCUCCACUGGGAGAAGUCUCUCCGAAGUCGAAUUCAGCAACUAUUCUAGUUUCAUAACUAGAGAGCCUGCUGGAUUUCGGUCCAGUCAGAACCUUGAAAACUGCAUAGAAACUUGUCAGGUAGGUAGUUUCUGCUGAUUAGUUAGAGAUAGCUAAUGAGCGGAGAUGAAUAUCACAGACACCAAUGUAAUUGAUAUUAGUGGUCAAGCUACAAAGGGCUGAU